rnacentral:rRNA from 1 species
UACAGAGGGUGCGAGCGUUAAUCGGAAUUACUGGGCGUAAAGCGUGCGUAGACGGCUAUCUAAGUCGGGUGUGAAAGCCCCGGGCUCAACCUGGGAAUUGCAUUCGAGACUGAAUAGCUAGGGUACGGUAGAGGGAAGCGGAAUUUCCGGUGUAGCGGUGAAAUGCGUAGAUAUCGGAAGGAACAUCAGUGGCGAAAGCGGCUUCCUGGACCAGUACCGAUGUUCAGGCACGAAAGCGUGGGGAGCAAACAGG